UCCCGCAGUGCAAGGCCGGGCCUGGCGGGGUGAGGUAGUAGGUUGUGUGGUUUCAGGGCAGUGAUGUUGCCCCUCGGAAGAUAACUAUACAACCUACUGCCUUCCCUGAGGAGCCCAGUGACACGACCCCAUGGG
rnacentral:precursor_RNA from 1 species